GCUGCGCUACCGCAGGGGGCAGGCGACCACGGUAGGGUCAGCGACUGGGGUGAAGUCGUAACAAGGNAGCCGUAGGGGAACCUGCGGCUGGAUCACCUCCUUUCUAAGGAAGCUGUGGAAUUGGUAAGACGCCUGGCCUGAUCUUCGGAUCAACCCAGGAUGAACCUUCCCGUGCUUUUUAGAACAUAGAUGGCGCCAGUCAGGCGACCAUCGAAAACGUAAUACGCCGCAGAGACUUCGGUCCUGACGGUAUGGCAAGUGUCGCCGUCCACGUUUCUCUUUCUUCAUGAAGACAAAAGCCGCAUUGACCGGUACCGGAAUGGGCCCGUAGCUCAGUUGGUUAGAGCACACGCUUGAUAAGCGUGGGGUCGGAAGUUCAAGUCUUCCCGGGCCCACCAUUUGCAUACGCGAAUGAGGGGUUGGGUUGAGACUGUUGGUCGAUGCGAAUUGUUGCCGCGCCUGGUUGAAAGACUUGGGUGAUCGAGCUGGAUGGGGCUGUAGCUCAGCUGGGAGAGCACCUGCUUUGCAAGCAGGGGGUCAGCGGUUCGAUCCCGCUCAGCUCCACCAAAUUUUGGCGCUCACGGGUGAGCGGUCCUUCGGACCUACCCUCCGCGAGGGCGCCGAACGAUCGGCGACGCGCUAUCGCGCUGUAUUGGAGAAUUGAUCCUACGGCUGCGAAUUGUCUUCUGGAGAAAUAAAGGUUUGCACCUUCAUCGAAUGUGAUGACGGUGCCUGUUUUGGAUACAUUGUGAAGAGAAGAUAUGUCUGGAAGCUUCCAGGUGUUUUGGGUUUUACCCGGAGCGUCCGAGCCCAGUCUCAGAGAAACCAUGUGAUGGCUUAGUCGGCCGGAAUUGGUGGAGGGACUGGAGGUAGGAAGGAAGCUUGUCCGAGGCAUUUUUGUUGUUGGGGCUUUUAGCCUCUCUGAUGAAAAUGCUGGAUUGGUGUUGCCUGACCGCGCAUCACCGGAUGAUAUCUCGAGAAGCUGGUCUUAAUGGUAUGGCUUCGAGGUGCACCGGCGUGCCCUCAAUGAAGACUAUACCGAACACGUCGAUGGCAUCGUGACUUGGCUGGGUUGUAAAAGGUAACCUUGCCUGUCGUUCAUUCCUUCGGAAUGACGACUUGAUGAUGAGCAUAGACAAUGAGAACGAAGAAGUGAAUUAAGGGCAUUUGGUGGAUGCCUUGGCAUGCACAGGCGAAGAAGGACGUGAUACGCUGCGAAAAGCCGUGGGGAGCUGCGAAUAAGCUUUGAUCCAUGGAUCUCCGAAUGGGGCAACCCACCUUAAAUACCUAGAAAAUCUGUUCUGUUGAGCGAUCGGCAGAAGAGGUUUCUAGGUAUUGCGAUAAGGUAU
rnacentral:misc_RNA from 1 species